rnacentral:sRNA from 1 species
UCGAUGAGGGCUAGAUAACUGGGGUGCGGGUUGGGGAGGGAGGUGAGAACAGGAACUGAGGAAAGAAGGCCAGAUGGCGGGUGAGUUUACUGCAAGCUGAUGUCAAUGCAACAAGAAUUAGGCAUAAAAGGAGAUUACCGUGCAUUGUUGAAGAAGGCUGUGAAAAGUGGGAAAGCAGGGGGCUGAAGCUGAACCCUAUCUUUUGUUUCCAAUCCCUCUCCAAAGAUUCGACACCUCUUAGAGGCUGCAAUCCCAGAGAGAGUUGAAGAGAUCCCUCCUGAAGUCCCUACAGAGCCCAGGGAGCCAGAGAGGAUUCCAGUCACUGUGCUGCCACCUGAGGCCAUCACGAUCCUGGAGGCAGAGCCCAUACGGAUGCUGGAGAUUGAGGGUGAACGGGAGCUCCCAGAGGUCAGCCGCCGAGAACUGGAGCUGCUGAUCGCAGAGGAAGAAGAAGCUAUCUUGUUAGAAAUCCCGCGGCUCCCACCUCCAGCUCCUGCAGAGUAAGGGCAAGAACUCCUAGACCAGGUAGGGUGUCAGUGCUGGGAAGGGUCUCCUCAUUUCUCUUGCCCAUUUCCCCUCAGGGUGGAAGGAAUAGCAGAGGCACUGGGUCCUGAGGAGCUGAGGCCGACAGGCUGGGAACCUGGGGCCCUACUCAUGGGUGAGUGCUCACCAUGCCCCAGGGGCUUUUCUGGGAGUACCUGGAUACUGCUGCAGACAAGGGCUUUAUAUCCCAACUUGCUAGAGGGAGGACCCUGCAGUUUCUUGCCCUGGCAUCUGCAAGGGGUAAGGGGCUUAUGGGACAGAGCCCCUUGGGUGUUGUUGCAGAGGUGACCCCCCCGGAGGAGCUGCGUCUGCCAGCCCCACCCAGCCCAGAGGUGAGUAGCCUCCCUUCUAAUCCUCCUCCUCCUCCUCUUUGCCCUCCCCCACAAGGACUGCCUCCCCAAGCCCAGGGCCACUGCUAGCUUACAGGGGUCCUUAGUGCAGAUGAUAAAAGAUGCCCCUUUCUACACCCCAUCGUAUCUGGCCUACGCUUCC